UAGUCAUAUGCUUGUCUCAAAGAUUAAGCCAUGCAUGUCUAAGUAUAAACAACUUUGUACUGUGAAACUGCGAAUGGCUCAUUAAAUCAGUUAUAGUUUAUUUGAUGGUGCUUACUACAUGGAUAACCGUGGUAAUUCUAGAGCUAAUACAUGCGUAAAAGACCCGACUGUUUGGGAGGGUUGUAUUUAUUAGAUAAAAAACCAAUCAGCGCAAGCUGUCUGAGGUGAAUCAUAAUAACUUUGCGAAUCGCAUGGCCUUGUGCCGGCGAUGAAUCAUU
rnacentral:rRNA from 1 species